CUCAGAAUAACAUCUCAAGCACCAUCUCAACCACACGUGCAAAUGAAGAGUGUUGAGAAGUAUCUGAACCUGGAGCAGUCUACACUAAACACCUGGCCACCUCUCAGGAUUCUCAAAAAGCAAAUGAAGGGAAGUGUCAGGGAGCAAGUGGAGGGAAGAAGAAAGAAAAAGAGUCGAAGAAUGAAGAACCCCUCAGGGAGCAUUCACAGUGCCAAAGAGAUACUCAUUUUCAAGCACCAUCUGUCAAGAUCUACUCGGAGCUUUUUCUUUCUCUGUAUUUAUUCCCUCCCCCAGGUUUUACCAUCCCACUGCUUCAAUGGCUUGAGCAACAAAAUGUUAUCUUGAGACUGAGUAAACCACAGUGAGAGUCAACUCCAAUAGGCAUGGUUUGGAUGCUAGAGACAUUUGUCUGCAGUGAUAGACUUGCAACUUUCUUUCACUGCUGCUAUGGUACAAGUUUCAAGAAAGGAAAGAAAAAUAAAACUCUGAGAUUUGCCCCAAAAGUCUGGGUACACAUGCUGCAGCAUAAGGAGCAAACUGUUGGCAGAUGGCAUUAAAACACCACAGUUCCAUAAUUGAGUCUUAUAUUCAUACAUCCCUGCCAGUUUGGAAUCUAACUGCCAAUAAUACAAUACUGUGAUAUUGCCACAUCCAAUACAAUUGUAUGUUGCUGAAGUUACACUUAAAUCCGCCAGUAAAUUUUAUUCUCCCAGAGCAAAACAUUUUCUCUAUUC
rnacentral:lncRNA from 1 species